AACGUAGGUACCGAGCGUUAUCCGGAUUUACUGGGCGUAAAGCGUGUUCAGGCGGCCUGGCAAGUCGGGCAUGAAAUCUCUCGGCUCAACCGAGAGAGGCUGUCCGAUACUGCUGGGCUUGAGGACGGUAGAGGGUGGUGGAAUUCCGCGUGUAGUGGUGAAGUGCGUAGAUAUGCGGAGGAACACCAGUGGCGAAGGCGGCCACCUGGACCGUCCCUGACGCUCAAACACGAAAGCUAGGGUAGCGAACGGG
rnacentral:rRNA from 1 species